GACGAACGCUGGCGGCGUGCUUAAUACAUGCAAGUCGAACGGAAAGACCAUAAUCUUGUGGGGUUCUUGAGUGGCGAGCGGGUGAGUAACACGUGUGUAAAAUGCCCCUGACUUACUGGUAACAUCACGGAAAUCGGGCGCAUAUAGGAUAUGAGCUCCUGAAGCGUGGUGGUGGAUGGAGAGUUUCGGCGGUUGUGGAUGGUCUCGCAGCAUAUCCGCUUCUUGGUCGGGUAGUGACUUACAAAGGCUAUGAAGGGUAGCCGGCCUUGGAGGGUGAACGGCCACAUUGGUACUGAGGGACGGACCAGACUCCUACGGUAGGCAGCAGUGGGGAAUAUUGCACAAUGGGCGCAAGCCAGAUGCGACAACGCCGCGUGCGGGAUAACGUCCUACGAGUUGUAAACCGAUUUCUCAGUUGACGAAGCGUGAGUGACGGUAAUGAGUAAAAAAGCACCGGCUAACUACGUG
rnacentral:rRNA from 1 species